GACAGAGGGUGCAAACGUUGUUCGGAAUUACUGGGCGUAAAGCGCGUGUAGGCGGCUAAGUAAGUCGGGCGUGAAAUCCCACGGCUCAACCGUGGAAGUGCACUCGAAACUGCAUAGCUAGAGUCCUGGAGAGGAAGGUGGAAUGCUUGGUGUAGAGGUGAAAUUCGUAGAUAUCAAGCGGAACACCGGUGGCGAAGGCGGCCUUCUGGACAGUGACUGACGCUGAGGAGCGAAAGCGUGGGGAGCAAACAGG
rnacentral:rRNA from 1 species